GCAGCUGCUCCGGGGUGUGCGCAGAUGCGCGCUGAGAUGGCCGAGCGGCCGAACCCGCGAACUUGAUCUGGUUCAUACCAGCGUAAGAAGAGCUGCGACUCCCCCG
rnacentral:ncRNA from 1 species